UUGGACCUCUCAGGCCAUCGGCAGCUCUCCCUCCUCCCUGCAUGCAGCACCCAUUUCCUACCUGGCCCACGUGGUCCAGCCCAGCAUCCCGGAGGUGACGGCCGCAAUGGAGGCGAGGCUGCCAGCCAGCACGAUGAAAAAGCAGUUGAAGCUCAGCGGUCCGAUGACUUGCUCAAGACCCCAGCCACCCUGUGCCCCACACCACACUCACUGGACCACAGCUCCCAGUACAUCUGCAGCCUGGCACUGUCCACAUGGGCACCUGAGGUGGAGGCCGCCCGGCAGAAGUAGAUGGAGUCUUGCUCUGUCACCCAGGCUGGAGUGCAGUGGCACGAUCUCUGCUCACCACAACCUCCGCCUCCUGAGUUCAAGUGAUUCUCCUGCCUCAGCCUCCCGAGUAGCUGGGACUGCAGGCGCAUGCCACCACGCCUGGCUAAUUUUUGUAUUUUUAGUAGAGACAGGGUUUCACCAUGUUGGUCAGGCUGGUCUCGAACUCCUGACCUCGUGAUCCACCCGCCUCGGCCUCCCAAAGUGCUGGGAUUACAGGCGUGAGCCACCGCGCCCCGCUGCAAUUUACGUCUAUAACAAACCUCCACAUGUACCCCUGAACCUAAAAAUUACAAAUAAAUAAAUGAAACCAGUAGACCUCAGAAUAAGGAAAAAACAAAGAA